UGAGAGCUCUCCUGAUAGCAACAC
rnacentral:misc_RNA from 1 species